UACGAAGGGGGAGCUAGCGUUGUUCGGAAUCACUGGGCGUAAAGCGCACGUAGGCGGAUUUGUAAGUCAGGGGUGAAAUCCCGGGGCUCAACCUCGGAACUGCCUUUGAUACUGCAAGUCUUGAGUCCGAUAGAGGUGAGUGGAAUUCCUAGUGUAGAGGUGAAAUUCGUAGAUAUUAGGAAGAACACCAGUGGCGAAGGCGGCUCACUGGAUCGGUACUGACGCUGAGGUGCGAAAGCGUGGGGAG
rnacentral:rRNA from 1 species